UGUUGUUAAGGAGUUGUUAUGUUCUAACAUCUCACAUUCCUACAUUUAUUUUUAGUUUAGCAGACAGUACAUUAGUCAGACAUAUUCUUCAAACAUGAAAAUGCCUUAAUAGAAAUAAAAGAAACAAAUAUUAAGCUGGUAUUUCUCUUUUUUCUGACAGUUGGACAGCAGUACAAUCACAGCAGACAGUAUGAGGAGCUUACUGUUGGCAGGUUGCCACGGCAACCAGGUUUUUCCAUUGUAGCGCAAGGCGUAGCAAGACCAUACGUUUGUAGGGACUGAAAGCAACACAUUGAAAUGAUUAUCCAUGGAGGUGUUAAAAAUGAUGAACGAUGAUGCGACCGCUGCACGAGGCACAGCAGAUAUCAGCCUUUACAACUGCUCCGGUGUCAGACCUCCUCCUGUUUCUAGUCGUUUCCUUCACCUAAUCCUUCCCUGGAGGGAGAAUAUUUUUGCUGGAGGACCAGAUUUGACCCGCAGGCUUGUAUUUGCCUUCUACUGAUCCACAUACUCUAAACUAUGGAGCCAGUUUAGAUGAGUCUCAUGUGGUAGGUACGUCUUAAUUUUGCUCUUAGAUUAGUCUGAUGCAAAUUAGAUUGUUUCACAAAAAUAAAGAAGAGCCUUAUUUUAACAAACUCAGAGUUAAAGAGCAAAGUUUCCAUGGUAACAACACCACCAACAUCUUCAGCACCAUUUAUGUGUUUCCAUAUGGCCCCCCCUCCUGUUUUAGGAUUGCUUUGAUUUGAU